CCUACGGGUGGCAGCAGUGGGGAAUAUUGCACAAUGGACGGAAGUCUGAUGCAGCCACGCCGCGUGAAGGAUGACGUCACUCGUUGUUUUAAGCUCUAUCUGCACGGGAGCAAGUGACGGUACCUGUAUACUUAGCUCAGGCUAAAUACGGGCCAGCAGCCGCGGUAAUACGUCGGGCGCCAGCGUUAUCCGGAUUUACUGGGUGGAAAGUGGGAGUAGGUGGUAGAGCAAGUCAGAGGUUAAAUCACUCAGCUCAACGAUGGAAAUGCUUGAGAAAAUGGUCAGCUAGAGUGUAGGAGAGGCAAGUGGAAUUCUUGGUGUAGCGGUGAAAUGCGUAGAGAUCAGGAGGAACACCAGUGGCGAAGGCGGCUAGCUGGACUAUAACUGACGCUGAGGCUCGAAAGCGUGGGGAGCAAACAGGAUUAGAUACCCGUGUAGUC
rnacentral:rRNA from 1 species